CUGUACAUCAUUAACUAGACACCAAGUUAAGCUGAAGGGACAUACAGCAUGAUACAACUUGACAUCAGAGCAUCAGCUGUGACACACAGACUAAACUUUAUUCAUGUUUUCCCUGAAACGCAACUGACUAAAUUGGACUUCAGUGAAAUAAAUUCAGUGCUAGCAGUGCAGUCAUCACAGGCAUUUUGUUGGGGGGAUAAAAUGCAUAUGAUGGUGUUUCGCUCUCCUUUUGGACUAAAUACAGAUGGUGACACGUAGGAGAUGUCAAAGAUCAGCUUCAACACAAAGAACAACACACUCCUGACAAUUUUAUAACAAAUAUUAUCAUGGAUUUAAAGGAGCUUUGCAAUCUGUAGUAGCCUCUUUAGGUCUAGGGUUCAUCCAAGAGUUUGAGCAGUUUGAGCUCGCUUUUUCUUUCUCUUUCUCUUUAACAUGUACUUAUAUAUAACUGAGAAGCAACAGCAUGACUGCUUUCAAGAGCAGACGGACACAAAAGUUCUUAGAGAGAGAUUAGGAUGUCAGAUAGAUGCAGCAAGGAGGAGGAUAUUGACUGCAAGCUUUUAACCCUGCCUUCCAGUGUGGCCAUUUGGAACAGGUAUAAACACUUUUGCUUUUAGAUGUAGCUGGAAAACAAGUCGUUGUUUAAAGCAUACUGAGAGGGUUGGCAACUAAUGAUUAUUUUAAUUAAUUUCUCAAUCAAUCAAACACUUUAUAUGGUGAAUGUCAGAAAAUAAUGAAAAAUGUGCAUCAAAAUUUCAUUAAGCCCAUGUUGAGGUCUUCAAAUGACUUUUUCUGUCCAAAUAACAGAUUUAAACCCAGCGAUAUUAAAUUUACAACAUAGAAGACUAUGAAAAGCACGAAGUCCUCACAUUUGAGAAGCUGGAGCCAGAGAAGUUUUUGUACUUUUGUUUAAAAAACUGACCCAACCAUUAAUCAAUUAUCAAAACUGUUUUCUGUCAAUCGACAAAUUGAUUAAUCAACGAAUUGUUUCAUCUUUAAUACUGAAAAACUUACCAGUAGAAAAAAGCUGGCAGCUGUCACAGAGCCCUAGACCCUAAGGGGCCCCCAAAGCCCCACAUUAAUUGUGCAUCAAUUGUUUUGUGAGACUUUAUUGCAUAUUCCUCAAUAAAUUUGUGUUUUACCAAAUCACCACAAAGAGGGAUCCAUGAACUCUAUUACAUGACCCUUAGAUAUGUAACUCUAACAACAAGCAACCUCAAAAAAGAUAUCAGCAGAAUCACAACAGAACACAAAGCAAAUCAGUUUUCACCAAAGUGUAUUAUAUUAAAAUAUCCUCAAGUCCAACCUACAAUUCAAAUAGAACAAAAGUGUCCGUAUCUCAGUUCAAAAUGUGAAUGAAUCAGUUUCUCAAAAAAAAAAUCUCCUCUUCAGGAUCCCAACAACCAACUCUCAGUUUAAACUCAAAUGAAACUGUUGACCAACAAAAACAGAACUGAGUGAGCUCUCUGGCCUUUCCCUAGACCAGCUUUGCAAAAGCUCUAGAACACCAGGGUUACCUCCUAAAAUCCCGCCAGUGUCAGCAGGGGUUGGGGAGCUGAGUAAAGCUGGCGAAAAUUGAAAAAGCUAAUCUUUUCUACAGUUUUUUUUUUUUGAUACAAAUCGAGUUUACGUUGGUAUGUACUGCCUCCUGGAAAUGAUUCCUGCUGCCUGUGGACUUUGGAGAGACUUGCUGCUACGGUUUAGUGGUAAAGUUACACAACUCUUAAUGCCUAUUAGUGUUAAUACUUGUUUUGCAUUUUAUUGCAAUCAUUUUAUAAUCUUCAGGUCAUUUUUUAUUUCUGCAUGAUACAACAUACAUACAAGUUGGUAGCGUUUUGUUUAUUUACUGUAAAAAUGCACACAUAGCAUCAACACAAUUAUCAAAGUAACACAAACACUUAAUACUUAAAAUACUCGAUACAUUUAGAGGUUUACACCUGGUAAAUACCGACAAAAAAUAACAUCCAACCACUAGCGCUGAGCGGCGGUCUAGGCCUCUUCCUCCAGUGAAUGAAUGUGCACCAUGGUAGUCUGAAGUUGGCAUAGUUAUUGCUGAGUUGUCACGAGAACGUUAAGGUGUGCGCGCGUGUGCUUGUGUUUCACAAGGGCUUAAAGGUGCAGAUCGCCACAACAUCAUGUAUCUGGUUUGUUUAAUCUGUACAAAGUAGAAAUGUAAAAAUGACAAUUUAUGGUUUUAAGGGGGAGUUUAAUAGCUGGAACUAUGUCUUGUCAGGUUUGAGGUCGUUGAGACAUGUACAGAGACCAAAACCAAAACCUGUGCUCACUGACUGUAUCUGGCAACUUGUGCUGUAGCCUGAGACACUUCAGAAAGUACAGGGUGGAUGAAUAAACUGUUGUUCAUCAAGAAAAAGUUCCAGCAAGUAACUCCCCCUAAAGCCGCACCCUGCUGUUUUUACAUUUCUGUUUGUGUAUGAAGAAAAACCACAUGCGUUAAUGGAUGAACUUUGACAUUUGACUAGGUUUUUUUUUUUAACUUUAGACGGAGCCAGGCUAGCUGUUUCCCCCUUACAGUCUUGCUAGGCUGAGCUGACCACGACGGACUCCAGCUCUGUACUUAACACACAGACAGUGAGACUGAUUUCCAUCUUCUCUUCUCAUUCUUGGAAACAAAGAGAGAUGGACGGAGCAGUCUACUAUAUCCAACCAGCCUCAGCCUUGCAUAAACCUCCCAUAUACUCUGAUGGGAGAAUUGCCAUAUUAUUGCCAGAUUGGGGAUAGCUGCAUGGAAGGUGACUGGAUGACUGGAUGAAGCCUCCCACUGUCCACUACAAUGAUAGAAAGCUUGGCCCUACUUGCCUGCCCUGCAUUGAUGUUUUAAAUGGCCAGUUAGAUGAGAUCGUCAACUGAGGAGAGCACUUUGCUAAGCAAAGACAUAACUGGUGCAGAUACAAGACUGGAGAUAUAGCUCAACCACCAACCCACUGACCCACAGAAACACACUCUCACACAUAUCCAAGGAAUACCGCAGAGCCCAAGAGACCAAGCAGCUGGUUGUGUUCCAACUCUGAAUGGACAAGCGAUGGAUGGAGAGCAGGCUCAGCUGUCCAAUAAACUGAGACUGCAUUAGUCGUAUGUUGAUAAGGAGCCCUUGUGUUUGUUUGUAUAAUGACUGUUAUGUAAUGAUCUUUUUCUAACCUUAACAUCAUCCACUGUGUUAGCUCAGCUUUCCCCCAAAAUAUCACUAUUGGAUUGUCAGAUGGGAUGGGAAGUGUCGGUGAACUGCCAUCGUCAGGUCUCUCUACAGAUGCUCUAGGGGGUUUAAGUCUGGGCUUUGGCUGGGCACUCAAGGACAGUCAGAGUCUUGUCCUGAAGCCCCUCCGGUAUGGUCUUGGCUGUAUGCUUCAAGUCAUUGUUGUACUGUACCAUCGCCACAGUCUCAAGUUGCGUGCACUCUGGAGCAGGUUUUCUUCAAGAACCUCUGGGUUUGGCUACAUUCACCUUUUCCUCAAUUCCAACCAGUCUCCCUGUCCCUGCUGCUGAGAAAUACCACUAUAGCCUUAUGCUGUCUCAACCAUGCUUCACUGUAGGGAUGGUAUUAGCCAGGUAAUGAACAGUGACUGAUGUUUGCCGGAAAUGUUUGGAAUUCUGCCCAAAGAGUUGAACUUUGUAUCAGACCAGAGAAUCUUUUUGCUCAUGCUCUCAGAGUCCUUUGAAUGCCGUUUGGAAAACUCCAAGUGGGCUGUCAUAUGCCUUUACUCAAAGUGGCUUCCAUCUAGCUACUCUACCAUAAAAGCACGAUCGAUGAAGUUCUGCUGAGAUGGGGUUUUUGGUCACCUCUUUAUGCUCUUCUUGUUAGUUCUCUUCUUAGUUUGGCCAAAUGAAGUUCUGGUGGUUCAAAACAUCACAAUAAUUUUGCAAAUAUUGACGCCACUGUGCUCCUUGGAAACUCAAAGCUUGAUCUGUGCCUAGCCCCAAUGUUAUUGCAGAGGUUUACAGAGAGGGUUCCUUGGACUUCAUGGCUUGGUUUUUGUCCUAACAUGCAGUGUGAAUUGUGAUUACUGUGAUUAAACUAAUCUGACCAUCUUGAAAGAAAAAGAUAAUGUGUAGUUUGAGUUGGGCAUGGGUAGUUUUCAGUUGCCUCAACUUAGAGGAACAAAGAACUAAAUCUUAACCAUAGAGGUGACAGAAAACAGGAAAUAUAUGAGUAAUUUUUGUCGCACUUAUUUGUAACAAUUUUGGAAGGCACAUACAAACAACUACACCCUGGCAAUAAGAGCACCUAAUGAGAAAAAGGGCUCAUAUGGGUCAUUUCGGAAGGCAAUCAUAAAUGGCCAUUGUGGUCAUUUAGGUUGAAGAACUUUUUUAAAUUACUGAGAGUAAUAUAGUUGAGGCCAAUUUGUGGCUUCACCGCAACAGCGGGGCCAGCACUAUAAACGCAAAAUGUCCGCAACUGACUGACUGACUGACUGACUGACUGAGUAAGUGAGUGAGUGCUGAAUUUACACCAUCAGUUGGCUGGCCAAGUGUUGGUAUUUCCCCAUUGGCCAUUUCUCUUUCAAAAUGAACUGGUGAAAACAACUUCUAAUACGUCGGGUUUACAGGCAGUGUCACCGAUUUAGCACCUUGAUUUACUACGUUUAGCAAAUUUUCUUCACAAAAGCACUUAGCGACAGAUGGUUAGAUUUUUGGACAAACCUUAGCUACUUUAUGUAAAAUCAGUCGCCAGUAUUGUCAACGUAAUGUUGGGCUUUCCCUCUGCAGCCACACCUCUCUCUGGUCUCAUUCAAUUGACUUCAUGGCAGCUAACACAGACAUGAAUGAGCUUCUAACUUUCUCUCUGAGGUAUCAUUUUACAAGUAAAUAUAGCCUUAAUCAGUAGGGCUGUAGUCAACCAAAGAAAAUCUUGGUCAACUGAAAUCGUAACUACCCAUCAACCAAUUGAUUGGUUGCGGGGGAAAAAAUCUCUAGAUUAACUAAACUGUCCACAGUCCAUUGAGAGCAGUCUACCAGGUAGCCUUUAUUAGCCUAAAUGAUUUAUAAAUAAAUAUAAAAAGCAAGUAUUUGCAGUAUAUUAAAUCAUUUUAAACUAAUUAUUUUAUACUGCAAUGAUAAAAACAGAGCUGACCAGUGUACACCUGCCCAUAUUCAUAUGAUUUCCGAAAAUAGAACUAUAUCAACUGGUGAUCCAAGCACAAUAACUACUGAGGAAUAUGCACUCAAAGUCUCAAGCGUUAAACACGAAAGUGGACUGAGCAUCCUAACACAGACAAGUUAGCCUACCAUUUUUAGAUGAUAUGUUGUGUUGGUUGUUGAGCAGUGACAUGCAAAUGGACCGCAUUUCAGUCACUAUUUCAUACUUGUUCCAUCGUCUGACAACAUAAACAGAAAAACAUGUAAAUGAGAUCAGCUUUAUUCACAAUUCAGCUGUAUGAAAUUACUGUAUAUGUGAGCACAGAGAGUAGGGGAGAAACAAACAUAUAAUGGGUGGUCCAGCCAUAUACUAGGUUUUUACCUGGUCUUGUUUACCUGUUCACAGAUUUUGACUACUCACAGAUAUAGUGGUAUUCAUAUGUGUCAGCUAAUACAAAUCAAGGUUUCAUAGGUUCAUCUAUGUAUGGAAACAUUGUUAAUGUAAUAUAAAUUAAA